rnacentral:rRNA from 3 species
UGGUGGCGAUAGCGAAGAGGUCACACCCGUUCCCAUGCCGAACACGGAAGUUAAGCUCUUCAGCGCCGAUGGUAGUCGGGGGUUUCCCCCUGUGAGAGUAGGACGCCGCCAAGCA